AUUGAACGCUGGCGGCAUGCUUUACACAUGCAAGUCGAACGGUAACAGGCCGCAAGGUGCUGACGAGUGGCGAACGGGUGAGUAAUGCAUCGGAACGUGCCCAGUCGUGGGGGAUAACGCAGCGAAAGCUGUGCUAAUACCGCAUACGGUCUAUGGAUGAAAGCGGGGGACCGUAAGGCCUCGCGCGAUUGGAGCGGCCGAUGUCAGAUUAGGUAGUUGGUGGGGUAAAGGCCUACCAAGCCGACGAUCUGUAGCUGGUCUGAGAGGACGACCAGCCACACUGGGACUGAGACACGGCCCAGACUCCUACGGGAGGCAGCAGUGGGGAAUUUUGGACAAUGGGCGCAAGCCUGAUCCAGCAAUGCCGCGUGCAGGAAGAAGGCCUUCGGGUUGUAAACUGCUUUUGUACGGAACGAAACGGUCUGGGUUAAUACCCUGGGCUAAUGACGGUACCGUAAGAAUAAGCACCGGCUAACUACGUGCCAGCCGCCGCGGUAAAAC
rnacentral:rRNA from 1 species